AUAUCUCUCUGUACGGGAAGGAUGAGAAGCUUCGACUAAGGUUCGAUUCGAGCGAAAGCGAGAAAGCGUUGCCGCAGGCAACGACCCGAAGGGCGAAGCGCGCAGCGCUGAGUAAUCCUUCCCCUACCACCA
rnacentral:sRNA from 6 species